AGUAGCCAAUUUUGGACCACCUACCUCUGGCAUGUGAAGGAAACCUCAGAAAUCUUGUGGUGGCUUGAAUUGCAGGCUGUGACCUCGAUAGUAUGAGAGUGGUUUCCUGGCCUUUGAAAGCAUUCUUAGGAAGGAGGGAUAAACAAAUCAUGGACCUUGAUUUGGACAACUUAAUGGAGCAAGUGUUGAUCUUUCACCUCUGACAUUAGUGCAAAUGUCAGGCCCCGUGUUUAUUUUUAUUCAGAUACCACAGGACAAUGUUGUGUCACUCUGAAGCAGAGGCAGUUGGUGAGAAUUAAUGAAGUGGAAGCAUAAGGCUCUUCUUGAAUUUUUUUUUCCUGUGUAACAAUAAAUUGGCUUUGGGUAUCUCACA